AGGACACAGGCCAUAAACUAAGCUCUUUCCUGACCUCUUGUUUCAGUACCUUUCAAGGCCAGUGGCUCCCUUCCUCAGCACCUGUCCCUGUGCCAUGGGCUGCGGCAGGGCUGAGCUGGGUUGCAGAGCCCCCUGGACCAGGUGUGUCUUGGACCAACAGCAUCAGCAGCCCCAGAAAUCUUGUCAGAAAUGCAGGAUCCCAGGGCCUCUCCACCACUGAGUCGCAUCAGCAAUUCAACAAGAUCCCAGGACUGUGAUGAGGACCCCGCAAGUGUCACCAUUGUCUGCCGCCACCUUCUCAUCUGCCCGCCCCAUCCCAGGCCAAGAAGAUUCCUGCAGUUCCUCUGGAAUUCUCUGGAAUUCUGCUCUCAUGGGAACCCUGGCUCCACUCAAACACCAUCCCUCUCACAUCUCAUUCCUGGGGUUGUUCCCCUCCUCUGCUUCUAGUUUCUUUGCACAAAACUCACUUUGCACAUGUUAAUGAGCCAGAUUUCCAUGAAGCAGAACAGUUCACGUCACAGCCCCGCACACAGCUAACAGUUCAAUAUUGGACUUUCAUUUCUGAACCGCCUUGUAUAUUUCUGCCAGCUCACCUUCUGCCCCCUCCCUCUUCUCGACUCUCAGCAGCAUGGAAAUUUUUUCUGGGAAUCAUUUUGCAGAGCAAUUCCAUUCCUCCAGUCCCUACUCCCAGAUUCAACACGGGCUUCCCUUGAUGACUCCAAAGACUCACGAAUGUGUUUGGCUGAACAAUGCAAUGUGCUCUAUGUACGGUCUGAAAUAAGAAAAAAAAUUUCUUUUAUGUAAGAAUGAAAUGGUGUCCAACUUAGGAAUUAUGUUGGAUCCCAACGUGCUGAGUCUGAGGAGAGACUUUAGCCAAUAACAAACAGCCCUGAGAGCUUCUGAGGAAACUGGCCAACUAGGAGGAACCCAGUAUUGGGAGGGGACACUGCAGCCAAGAGGCCUUUGCACUGUGCCUGCUAAGGGAAGGCUACUGGCUUCUUCAAGAAAUCCUUGGGUAACUUGAAGGUAGGUGACACCCAAGCUGAGGAAACUGCCUCACCCGGCCCUGCAUGGUUUUGGCCUCUGUCUUCAAUAAACCCUCUGUCAACACUGGGAACUGGGGGGAGCACAUCUCUUCCUCCUCCUUCUAGCAUCACAGCCCCAAACCCAACCCUCGGCACCCAGCCCAUCUGCCUGCUCUCAAGAGAAGAAAAAGGAGAGCCGUUCUUUGUACGAGGUGGGCAGGGGCACAGGAGGCUUCUCGCUGGGGCCCAUUGACUAAUUAUGUCACUGAGAACAAGAGCAUGUGUUUGAAAGCUCUGAAAACUGGAAACGGGGAUAGAAGGAUGGAUGGAUUUAAUUAAUCAUUAUCACUCAGGUGGGAUGGAUCCAAGUCAUGAAGCUAGACUGCAGGAAGGGCCCAGGGAGCUCCUGGCACUCUCUCAGGUGUGAAGGGAAGAAAUGAGGCCAGUUAUUAUGGCUUCACUGUAACUAAUCAAAAUGAGAAUGCACGGGGCAGCGUGGUACCGUCUACCGGUGCUAGAGUGGGAGCUCUCAUAUAAAUGCUAACAAGGCAAGAAGGGGAUUCUGGCUGGUGGAGGAAGCGCAGAGCAGGAACCGCAGGUCUCAUUUCCUCAGACAGCAGCGUGGACUCACUUUAAUUUGCAGAUGUUUUAAGCUCUAGGUGCCAGCAUCUGGAGGGCAGAAGAGAAACAGCUGUCGCCUCAUGGAUGUGACAGAUUAAAGCUGAAAUACACGUGGACUUCUCUCGUUUUAGAAACACAGCGGUCUCCUUUGCUUUGUGUUUGUUUUAUCCACUCCACCUUCCUGCAGUAGUUAGUGGGAGAGAUUUUAUAUCAGGAAUGGCAAAGGUCUCUCUGACACAUAUAGUAUAUUCAGAGGUCAGUACCUAUAAAAAUGGGCUUUGGGGCUGGACAGAGCAAAUUGGAGUUCCUAGCUAGGUUAUCUUGAGCAAAUAUACGUCUCGGUUUCCUCAUCUGUAUGUCUUGGUUUCCUCAUCUGUAAAAUGGGGCUAUCAGCAGUAGUGUCCAGGAUAUCUUUAAGGUUCCAUUGAGACGUGGAUGUCAAGGUUCAUCCCAGGGCUUGACAUGGAGCAGUGGAGUGCUCUAUGACUCAGUAAGUGGAAGCUAUCACUGUGGUCAUCUUCACCAUCGAUUCUGGGCUGCGUCUUCUUGUGGUCAUGCUAAGCGGCGAACGUGAAGGAAGACUGACUGAGCAGGGAAUGUAGGCGAUCGUCACCGCACUGUCAUAUGCUUCGCUUUCUCCUCCUAGAAAACAAAGCAUCCUUUGAAAAAGGAAUUGCUUUCAUUUCCCAUGGGAAGUAAUUUCUACAACCCACAAGUAAAUGCAGUCUAAUGACUAGAAUGUGACAGUAGCUAUCAAGAAUGAAAUGUUCCAUAAACAGUACUGCCUCCUAAAAUUACUCAGUCUCAGUGCUUGGUUUGGGUUCUCUCUUGCCCACCCGUCCUUCCCUGCUACUUCUCUUCCUCUCUCCCAACAUCUCCUCUCCCCCAUUCCAUCUUUUUAGGAUGCUCAGACCAAGCUACCACUGCCCCCCCCACCCCAAAUCCCUAAAGAAUGCAAAGCUGUCCUGGGGCUCCAUAGAAAGCCCAAAGGACUAGAUGCGACUCUGUUUAUUGAGUGGCCUGGGGGAGGGAGCGGGGGUCUUGAUGCUGCAAAGGCAGUUGGCAAACCAGUGGAGCAUGCCUCAUCCAUUUUCAGAGAAACAUCAUUUAAUCUCAGAACAUCUGCAAGAGUCUGCAGCAUAUUUUCCCCAGGGUUUGACUCUGAGCUGACAAAAGAUACCGGACACCCCCCCAGAUUCUGUGACACAUCUCGAUGUUAUUGAACAAACAUCAGUUAGGUUCCUGUCUCAGAGCACCAUCAGUCUGAAUAGGAAAUAUGCCAGCACUCUUAUCAUCGCUGACAGCACAGUCACUCACCUGCUGAUAGUGUCAGGAACGCAGUUCCCCGUGGUGGGGGGCUCUCCUCUCACUUCUCUGGAAGCAUUGUUCUCAGGCGGGCAAAAUAAUUAAGGGCCUUUGGAGUUUAUGUUUACUUUCUCAGAGUAAGCAAGAAUUCCUUGAUCAAUGUAAUGUACCUUGCAAACACAUAAUAAAUGUCAAUGGAUUCAA